rnacentral:lncRNA from 1 species
UCACGCCAUCGCACACCAGCCUGGGGGACAAGAGCAAGACUUUGUCUCAAACAAUAAUAAUAAUAAUGAUUGCCCACCCUGAUGCCUUAUGGGAAGCUGAGAGGGAGGAGAAUGAAUACUUGUUGGGUGGACCAGGCCUGCCAGAAUCAGGGUUUGCUGGCUAUGCUCUGCCUUACUUCACGUGGUCACAAUCCCAUGAGAUCCACGCUGUUAACUCCACUGGACAAAGAAGACACUGGGACCUAGGGCAAACAGAACAUUGAAACAGAGCAUUCAAAUGUCUGAAACUGAAACUAACAACAUGGAGCAAAACUUUGUGCAAAAAGAUGUUCACCAUGCCCUUGUUUAUAAGGGUUAUCAUUUGAAAAAUGCUCAAGUGUCCAAUUAUAAAGAAAUGGGACACUGAGCGCCAGGGCCCAAGUCACCAGCAAGAGAAAACCCAGGCGGAGCCCAGGGUGUCCCCCACUGCCCACCAGCCACUGCGGUCAACGUGAAGGGCAAGGGUGCAAGCGGGAUCGCGUCACAGGGAGCCGAGUGAGCCCAGAAAGUAGGAGAAGGACGUUUCCACCCACCUGGAGCGCAGUCCGUUUGCAGCCGGCGGCAGAAUGCUGCUGUCUCCAUCAAUAAAGUCCAUGUUAGCCACCUAGAGGAUAAAAUACCACGAGGAGGAGUAGCAAGGUGCCCCUGUUGACAGAUCUUGAAGCACAAGCUCACUCCCAGAAGCACAGCUGCCUAGUCAACAAACAGCUGACAAUACAUGUCUGAAGGAGCUCAGCUGGGAACAGAAGAAUGGCCCCACUGAGCCUAGCCUAAAUGGCGGACCAUCUCAAUUAUGAGCUAAUAAGUUUUGGAUGAUUUGUUAUGCUGCCAUACCUAACUAAUACAUGCACCCAGUGCAGAUUGGGUGUCAAGAUUUAAAGACAGUUUGAUUAUUAGUCACCUUCUAACAAUGGGCACCCUAAAGGUACUGACAUUUUUCCCGAUUUAAAGUUAAAUGUCUUGUAAGGCAAUGUUGACUGAUGCAGGAAUACUUGUAGACAUGUAUGCAUGUGAUUGGUGCUUAUAUGCACACAGUCCCCCACACCACAGGAAAAAACCGAUGACCAGAGCCUGACCAUUAUGGCCAAGGCCAAAUAGCCAAAGUUUGCCUUUAAUCUAUUUUCUUCAUAUCUAAAAAUUGGAGGUCAAUACUGUGGACAGGUCUGAAGACAUAGAGUUUUGUUCUCCUGUGGCCCCAUCAUUCUUCAGUGGUCUACCUGUGGUUAUUUUAUUCUUGUUACCUUCUGCUCUUUCUAUGACCACUAUCUGUUCCACCCUUGAAACUGAAGACAGAUGUUAGUAGAAAGAGGCUGUUCCCUCAUGUCGGGCAUGUGGGAUACGAUGAGGUUUCUCUUCAAAUAGCCUGAUCAAUCUUUUAUUCUUUAAUUCAUAGUACCCACACACACACCCCUUUUUUUCCUUUUUCUCCUUUUUCCUUUCUGCCUUUGUUAGAUGCCCAGGCACGCCACAGUACCAGGCAUUAUCAGUACCAGCUCACAUUUCUUCCCUUAUUUGGAAAGAGGACUAACUUUCUAGCUCAAUGCAGACACCCCUUCCCCUUCCUCUCUGCAUUCUUUUGCAUGCCCACCUUAUCUAAAAAAAUCAAAUGUUUAGCCAACCAGGAUUAGUUCAGAUUGUACGACCCGACCCUGGCCAAUGGGGAAAGGGUACAGGGGCAGGACUUGUGUCAGGAAUAAAGGCUCUUGUGCCCCUUUGUUCAGGUGUGCUCUCAUGGUGACUGGACAAGAACGCACCCCUCUGUGCAGAACUAAAAUUGCUUUGCUAGGAAUCCUUUGUUCGAGUGUUCAAUUUCCUUAUGAUUUUGAGCGUUAUUCCUAACAGGAAGAAAAGGGAUAUUCAGGCCUUUCACAGACCUGACAACAGAGCUGCACUUCAAUGUGACAGGUAUUGACCAUGUGUGACUCCUGGGAGCCUGGAAUGUGGCUGGUCUGAGCUGCAAUUUGCAAGAAAGGUAAAAUGCAGAGUUAGUUUCAAAGAUUUAGUUCCAUAAAUAUAAAAAUAUACAACAUAUAGAUAAAAAUAUCUAUAUAUAAUAUGGAUAAAAAUACAUAGCAUAAUGCAAUAUAUAGAUACAUAAUUAUGUUAUAUAUAAAUAUAUAUCUCAUUCAUAAUUAUACAUUGCUCACAUAUUAAAAUAAUAUUUUGGAUAUAUUGCUUUAAUUAAAUUGUUACAACAGACGGA